rnacentral:rRNA from 1 species
AUUGAACGCUGGCGGCAUGCCUUACACAUGCCAGUCGCACGCUAACAGGUCUUCGGAUGCUGACGAGUGGCGAACGGGUGAGUAAUGUAUCGGAACGUGCCCAGUCGUGGGGGAUAACGCAGCUAAAGCCGUCCUAAUACCCCAUACGAUCUAAGGAUGAAAGCGGGGGACCUGGAAGGGCCUCGCGCGAUUGGAGCGGCCGAUAUCAGAUUAGGUAGGUGGUGGGGUAAAGGCUCACCAAGCCUGCGAUCUGUAGCUGGGCUGAGAGGACGACCAGCCACACUGGAACUGAGACACGGUCCAGACUCCUACGGGAGGCAGCAGUGGGGAAUUUUGGACAAUGGGCGCAAGCCUGAUCCAGCAAUGCCGCGUGCAGGAUGAAGGCCUUCGGGUUGUAAACUGCUUUUGUACGGAACGAAAAGGUUCUCUCUAAUACAGGGGGCUCAUGACGGUACCGUAAGAAUAAGCACCGGCUAACUACGUGCCAGCAGCCGCCGUAAUAC